rnacentral:rRNA from 1 species
GACGAACGCUGGCGGCGUGCUUAACACAUGCAAGUCGAACGGAAAGGCCCUGCUUUUUUGGGCUGCUCGAGUGGCGAACGGGUGCGUAACACGUGAGUAACCUGCCCUUGACUUUGGGAUAACUUCAGGAAACUGGGGCUAAUACCGGAUAGGAGCUCCUGCUGCAUGGUGGGGGUUGGAAAUUUUCGGCGGUUGGGGAUGGACUCGCGGCUUAUCAGCUUGUUGGUGGGGUAGUGGCUUACCAAGUCUUUGACGGGUAGCCGGCCUGAGAGGGUGACCGGCCACAUGGGGACUGAGAUACGGCGCAGACUCCUACGGGAGGCAGCAGUGGGGAAUAUUGCACAAUGGGCGGAAGCCUGAUGCAGCAACGCCGCGUGCGGGAUGACGGCCUUCGGGUUGUAAACCGCUUUCGCCUGUGACGAAGCGUGAGUGACGGUAAUGGGUAAAGAAGCACCGGCUAACUACGUG